rnacentral:rRNA from 1 species
UGCCUAACACAUGCAAGUCGAACGGCAGCACAGCAGAGCUUGCUCUGUGGGUGGCGAGUGGCGGACGGGUGAGUAAUGCAUCGGGACCUACCCAGACGUGGGGGAUAACGUAGGGAAACUUACGCUAAUACCGCAUACGUCCUACGGGAGAAAGCGGGGGACCUUCGGGCCUCGCGCGGUUGGACGGACCGAUGUGCGAUUAGCUAGUUGGCGGGGUAAUGGCCCACCAAGGCCACGAUCGCUAGCUGGUCUGAGAGGAUGAUCAGCCACACUGGAACUGAGACACGGUCCAGACUCCUACGGGAGGCAGCAGUGGGGAAUAUUGGACAAUGGGCGCAAGCCUGAUCCAGCAAUGCCGCGUGUGUGAAGAAGGCCUUCGGGUUGUAAAGCAC